GCGGGCGGGGUGCUAUACAUGCAGUCGAACGAGUUCUGAUUAUUGAAAGGUGCUUGCAUCUUGAUUUAAUUUUGAACGAGUGGCGGACGGGUGAGUAACACGUGGGUAACCUGCCCUUAAGUGGGGGAUAACAUUUGGAAACAGAUGCUAAUACCGCAUAAAUCCAAGAACCGCAUGGUUCUUGGCUGAAAGAUGGCGUAAGCUAUCGCUUUUGGAUGGACCCGCGGCGUAUUAGCUAGUUGGUGAGGUAACGGCUCACCAAGGCAAUGAUACGUAGCCGAACUGAGAGGUUGAUCGGCCACAUUGGGACUGAGACACGGCCCAAACUCCUACGGGAGGCAGCAGUAGGGAAUCUUCCACAAUGGACGCAAGUCUGAUGGAGCAACGCCGCGUGAGUGAAGAAGGCUUUCGGGUCGUAAAACUCUGUUGUUGGAGAAGAAUGGUCGGCAGAGUAACUGUUGUCGGCGUGACGGUAUCCAACCAGAAAGCCACGGCUAACUACGUGCCAGCAGCCGCGGUAAUACGUAGGUGGCAAGCGUUAUCCGGAUUUAUUGGGCGUAAAGCGAGCGCAGGCGGUUUUUUAAGUCUGAUGUGAAAGCCCUCGGCUUAACCGAGGAAGUGCAUCGGAAACUGGAAAACUUGAGUGCAGAAGAGGACAGUGGAACUCCAUGUGUAGCGGUGAAAUGCGUAGAUAUAUGGAAGAACACCAGUGGCGAAGGCGGCUGUCUGGUCUGUAACUGACGCUGAGGCUCGAAAGCAUGGGUAGCGAACAGGAUUAGAUACCCUGGUAGUCCAUGCCGUAAACGAUGAAUGCUAGGUGUUGGAGGGUUUCCGCCCUUCAGUGCCGCAGCUAACGCAUUAAGCAUUCCGCCUGGGGAGUACGACCGCAAGGUUGAAACUCAAAGGAAUUGACGGGGGCCCGCACAAGCGGUGGAGCAUGUGGUUUAAUUCGAAGCAACGCGAAGAACCUUACCAGGUCUUGACAUCUUUUGAUCACCUGAGAGAUCGGGUUUCCCCUUCGGGGGCAAAAUGACAGGUGGUGCAUGGUUGUCGUCAGCUCGUGUCGUGAGAUGUUGGGUUAAGUCCCGCAACGAGCGCAACCCUUAUGACUAGUUGCCAGCAUUUAGUUGGGCACUCUAGUAAGACUGCCGGUGACAAACCGGAGGAAGGUGGGGAUGACGUCAAAUCAUCAUGCCCCUUAUGACCUGGGCUACACACGUGCUACAAUGGAUGGUACAACGAGUUGCGAGACCGCGAGGUCAAGCUAAUCUCUUAAAGCCAUUCUCAGUUCGGACUGUAGGCUGCAACUCGCCUACACGAAGUCGGAAUCGCUAGUAAUCGCGGAUCAGCACGCCGCGGUGAAUACGUUCCCGGGCCUUGUACACACCGCCCGUCACACCAUGAGAGUUUGUAACACCCGAAGCCGGUGGCGUAACCCUUUUAGGGAGCGAGCCGUCUAAGGUGACAAA
rnacentral:rRNA from 1 species